AGGACGAACGCUGGCGGCGCGCUUAACACAUGCAAGUCGAGCGAGAACCAGGGCUUCGGCUCUGGGGACAGCGGCGAACGGGUGAGUAACACGUGGGUAAUCAACCCCUGGCACCGGGAUAGCCCGAGGAAAACUCGGAUUAAUACCGGAUGGCCCAGCAGUCUUUCGGGACGGCUGGAAAAGGUAGCUUAGGCCUCUGGCCGGGGACGAGCCCGCGGCGGAUUAGCUUGUUGGUGGGGUAAUGGCCUACCAAGGCGACGAUCCGUAGCUGGUCUGAGAGGACGAUCAGCCACACUGGGACUGAGACACGGCCCAGACUCCUACGGGAGGCAGCAGUGGGGAAUAUUGCACAAUGGGCGCAAGCCUGAUGCAGCGACGCCGCGUGAGGGAUGACUGCCUUCGGGUUGUAAACCUCUUUCAGCGAGGGACGAAGCGAAAGUGACGGUACCUGCAGAAGAGCACCGGCCAACUACGCGCCAGCAGCCGCGGU
rnacentral:rRNA from 1 species